rnacentral:misc_RNA from 1 species
AAAAUCAUUACCCUUCAAAAAAUCAUUCCAGUAUUAGUACACUCUGUGGAAAUUUUUGAAGCAGUCCUAAUUCGUAGGUCUGAUUAUAGAGGAAUCUUAGCCAUGAUUUGUGACUUCUACGUUUUUCUUUCUUUCCUUUAGUUACACCACAAUAGUCCAUCCCCAAAAUUCCAUCUUCUCAACAAAACUUGUAAAUUUCCAACACAUGAAACCCUAAAAUAUACAAUUUCCCCAAUUUAUAAUUAUGGUUAGUGCUCAUCUUAUAUCAAUCAUUAGAGUUAGUGCUCAUAUUAUAUCAUUUGUUAGAGUUAAAGAUCAGACAACUUUGUUGCUAGAAAGAACUUUAACCAAUGUGACAAAAUCUUGAUAAGUUACUUAGAAUUCUUUACUUUUAAUUUCACAAGCAAUUAAAUAUGAAUUCAGGAAUCACUUAGCUCCAUCAAACUAUAAAAAAUAUUCCAUUGAAAAACUAUUUAACCAGCACAUCAACUAGCAUCAAAUUCCUUCUCCAAACCUCCGUUUAGAACAGAUAGCAACUAUAAAGCAGCUCAAAACCAAAUUUCUUGUCAUCUUCUUGUGAUUUCUAACGGUCAUAUCUGCAAGAAUCCCGAAGCCCUAAAACAUUAUCCUUUCAGCACUCACUUUGCAGCUAUUAAAUCCUUGAGAAGAUUUUCUCCUGAAACCUAUAUCAAGGUUGGGGGGUCUAGAUUACCUUUGUUGUUUUACGUAUUUUCAAUCUUACUUUUGAGUCGUCUAUUUUUAUUAAGCCUCUAUUCAUAGUCUAAAGAGUUGUUUAGUAAAACCAGCUCAAUUUCGUAUUCAAAGCCCAUGUUCUUUUUAUAAUGGAAUUUAUUCUUUCAUUUAUUAGUCAAUUUGAGAGAAUUAUUUCUAACAACUUUUCUAGAAAAUGUUGUUUAUUUGGAACCAUGUGCAGCAACCUUAUUCUGGAACAAUUGCUUAGAUUUCCACGAUGUAAUUGCGAAAGAUUGUAUUUCUUUCCCUUAAUUUUCACACAACCAUUAAAUCUGAAUUCCUGAAACUAAUUGUAGCACUUAGAGCAUUAAUGUUGUGAAUUUGGAACUGAUUCUUAUAUCUUUCACAAAAUAUAGUCAAAAGUGCAUCAGGUGAAUGGCUAGGUGAAAGAUGACAUUGACCUAGUGCCUUUAUUAAGGCACAGGUACCUCGUGAGAGAAACCAAGUGCUACUGUGUGCACAUAGUUAAAAGGACUGAUUGCUGAAAAAGAAAAGGGCAUUACCAAAUUAAAGUUUUAUUAAGAUGGAUGGAACAUGGAACUUAAUAUAGACGUGUUCAUAACUGAGUAGAAGCUUCACUCUUGACUAAGUAUAGACAUGUUCAUGACUUAAUACAAGUCCAUCGUUAUGCAGAUGUCCUUUUAAGAUAAAGAUGAGAAUACUCAGUAGAGCACUUAGUGCGUCCAUGUUCUAUCUUGUUCACAGGAGUUUGCCACAUAAACAAAUAAAAAAACAUGCAGACAAGAAUCCUUUUCCCAAUCUUUUUGGACUUGCUUACCAGUUUAAGGAAAAAUGAGCAUCCUCUCUAAAUGAACAUUCUAUACUCAUAAGAAUUUUUACAAAGUAGAAACAGUUCAUAAUUAAAAUAGUAUAAAACUGAGUACAUAACUUAAUUACUGGAACAGAGCAUUUGACUAUCUUGAAAUGCAAUACCUAGGAAGAAGCUUGACAUGGGAACUAGCACAAUUCAUAGGUUAGGCACGUUAUAAAGGGGCAUAACUAGACAAAAGAUUCAUACGAAUUUUCAUGAUCAACUACAGGCAUGGAUUGAUGAAUAAAUGCAUAAUCACAUAGACAUACAAUAUUGAAAUGCAAAAAAACAAAAACCAAAAUGUAACAUGUAAAGCAUAUCUCCAUUUAUGCAUUGUAAAUUGCAAUAGUGUAAAGAAAUUAAUAGUUGUAUGCUUUUGUCUUAUAAUGCAGUGAUCAUACUUCUGGUAAGGUAGUCAUAAGACCUCACAUAAAAAAGAUGGAAACUAUAGAAUAUGGCGUGAAAAUAACAAAUACAUUGCAACAUCUUUUUAGAUAAGAGAAAGUAUAAAGCUUGUACCCUGGAGAAGCAGAAGCAGUGGACAAAAUGGGAGAUAGGGGAUGUCUUCCGGGUAAUGGUAUCAGCAACGUCUUUAAAGCAAACAUUUGAAGGUCCGUGGCCAACCCAUUCAACCUUUUGAUGUCAGCCACCUCAACGCCAUACUUGAUGGCCACACCAGCCAGAGUGUCCUUCUUGGAGACCUGAUGCUGUAUGAAAUUCUUACUAUUAUUAGCAAUUCCUCCUCCUCCUGAUGAACUGCCAUUUGAAGGGGACAUAUCUGCCUCUCUUAUUCAGGCAAAUCAGUUUAAACUGCUUCCUUGUUCUUGAAACCGUAGAGAGAGAGAGAGAGAGAGGGU